rnacentral:rRNA from 14 species
UUAAAUUGAAGAGUUUGAUCAUGGCUCAGAUUGAACGCUGGCGGCAGGCCUAACACAUGCAAGUCGAACGGUAACAGGAAGCAGCUUGCUGCUUUGCUGACGAGUGGCGGACGGGUGAGUAAUGUCUGGGAAACUGCCUGAUGGAGGGGGAUAACU